rnacentral:ncRNA from 2 species
CCGCACGCGUCGGGAGAGCGCGCGGCCGCCGUUCGUUGAUCGAAAGGCAAGCCGCGCCGCCGAAGGGGCACACCCGCAAACUCUCAGGCAAAAGGACCGACCGCGUCGAA